rnacentral:misc_RNA from 1 species
GGAAGGAUCAUUACAACGUAUCCACGUAUAAACCUUUGUGAACCUGUUUAACCGCAUAAUGCGAGAUCGCAAAGUAUUUGCAAUUCGGAAUUAGAGCAAAUACCCGUCUUUCCAUGCGAAAGAGGAUCUUGUCAUUGUGUUUUUCCGUUACACAUUAACCACAUGUAAAUUUCUAUGUAAUUAACGGUUCUAGGCGAAAGCCUUUAGCUGAUAAAUAUAAGAAAUUAUAGCACAACUCUUAGCAACGGAUAUCUAGGCUCUCGUAUCGAUGAAGAACGCAGCGAAAUGCGAUACGUAAUGCGAAUUGCAGAAUUCAGUGAAUCAUCAAAUCUUUGAACGCAACUUGCGCUUCUGGGUAUCCCUGGAAGCAUGCCCCUUUGAGUAUCGUUUCAACACAACCUCGCCUGCGUGCUUGCAAAGGCCCACAGUGCGGUGAUUGAGUGUUUGGCCUGAAUUGGCUAAUCAUUUGAAACAUAUCAUAAAUUCAGUAUCAUCCGUUGAGCAUGUCUCACCUGGUUGAUGUUUGAUAAUUGACUUCGGUCAUUAACAUCAUUACAUCGACAACUGGAGGAUAUACCGAUUUGUGUAUCAAGGAACCUUCUAGAAAUUCAUUUUUCUAGAUAUUGACUUUGAUCUCAGAUGGAGCAAGAGAACCCGCCGAAUUUAAGCAUAUUAUUAAGCGGAGGAAAAGAAAAUAACAAUGAUUCCCCUAGUAACGGCGAGUGAAGCGGGAAGAGCUCAAAGUUAAAAUCGGUGUACCGAGAGGUGCUCCGAAUUGUAAUCUAGAGACACUUUUUCAGUCCUGACCCGGGUAUAAAUCUUUUGAAACAAGGUGUCAUAGAGGGUGAGAAUCCCGUCUUUGACCCGGAGUUCGGGGCGUACGAAGGGUGUUCCAAGAGUCGAAUAGCUUGGGAAUGCUGUUCUAAAUGGGUGGUAAAUUUCAUCUAAAGCUAAAUAUCGACGAGAGACCGAUAGCGAACAAGUACCGUGAGGGAAAGAUGAAAAGAACUUUGAAAGAGAGUUAAAAAGUACUUGAAAUUGUUAAGAAGGAAGCACUGGAAACCAGUUGUGCUGGCGUUACAUAGACACUACGUUGGUGAGAGGGCAAAUCGGUAUCUCAUAGAGCCGACCAAACUUCAGAGCUAGCGUAGUGUUCUCGUAGCGUUAGUGAGUCAGGAUCUGGUAGUUCUGCAGAAGAAAGCUAGCGGAAGGUAGUCAAUUAUCAGCGAUGGUAGUUGAAACUUAUAGCCGCUGGUCAAACUGUGGAGCUGCCAGAGGAACCACGAUAAUGCGCUCCGCAAGGCUGCUGGUGGGAGUUCCUAGCUGGCGGUGAUUUUGAAGAGCAAAGCUCUGUAGAGGUCACCGUUGGUUACUGGGUUCUCACUAGACCGCGCAUUCGCGAUCCUGACGAAAUGGUUUUCAUUGACCCGUCUUGAAACACGGACCAAGGAGUCUAACAUAUAUGCGAGUAUUUGGGUGUGAAAACCCUGAUGCGCAAUGAAAGUGAAGCUAAACUUUGUUUAGUGAGGUAGGAACCGCAAGGGGCACUAUCGACCGAUCGUUCAUUCAUGAAAGAUUUGAGUAAGAGCAUAUCUGUUGGGACCCGAAAGAUGGUGAACUAUGCCUGAUCAGGGUGAAGCCAGGGGAAACUCUGGUGGAGGCUCGUAGCGAUACUGACGUGCAAAUCGUUCGUCUGAAUUGGGUAUAGGGGCGAAAGACUAAUCGAACCAUCUAGUAGCUGGUUCCCGC